GUCUCACAGUCCUCUUCCUCAAACCUGUCCAUGUUCUCUCUUAGAUACAGGUCAUGUGGGCUCCCGAGUGGCGCAGUGGUCUAAGGCACUGCAUCUCAGUGCUAGAGGUGUCACUACAGACCCCUCUAUUAGAUACAAGUCAUAUCUCUCAGAUACAGGUCAUAUCUCUCAGAUAUCUCUCAGAUACAGGUCAUAUCUCUCAGAUAUCUCUCAGAUACAGGUCAUAUCUCUCAGAUAUCGCUCAGAUACAGGUCAUAUCUCUCAGAUAUCUCUCAGAUACAGGUCAUGUCUCUCAGAUAUCUCUCAGAUACAGGUCAUAUCUCUCAGAUAUCGCUCAGAUACAGGUCAUAUCUCUCAGAUAUCUCUCAGAUGCAGGUCAUAUCUCUCAGAUAUCGCUCAGAUACAGGUCAUAUCUCUCAGAUAUCUCUCAGAUACAGGUCAUAUCUCUCAGAUAUCUCUCAGAUACAGGUCAUAUCGCUCAGAUACAGGUCAUAUCUCUCAGAUACAGAUCAUAUGAGAUGAUUGUGGACUACAAAAAAAGGAUUGCUGAACACGCCCCCAUUCACAUCUACGGGGCUGUAGUGAAGCGG
rnacentral:lncRNA from 1 species